GUGACCAUUUUUUUAAUCCGAAAACAGGAUAACAUGAAUUUUGACCAGCCACGUACAAAUUUUAUAAAUUUUUAUUAAAAUUUAACCCAACGGCCAAUCUGUGUACCUACGAGGAUGUAUUGAUAUGUAGACCAGUUCCAUGCAUAAACAAAAUAUUGCGUUACCAUAGCAACGAACAAUAACUUAAGAAGUGUCAGUGCAAAGUUUGACGUCAAAAAAGUAAACCAAUAAAUUAAAAGAAAAAAGAUGUCCACCGAAAUUGUGAAAAUCGAAAAAUUGGAGUAUCGAGCCAUCAUCAAGUACCUGUAUUUAAAAGGGUUAAGAGUUGUGCAUACUUUCGCUCAGAAACAGUAAGGCGGAAGGAAAUUCAUCUGGAAAACCUUCCUCUAGCUAGCGUGUACCAAGACCAUCUUUGGAAGCAUCAGCUUCUAGCACAAUUUUUUUUUCAAGAGCAAAAAAUUUUAAUACUGUCGAAGAGUUCUUGGAACCUAGAACAAAAAAAUAUUCUGUAAGAGCCUCGGUCUGUGUGACUAAUUUAUAUAAAAUUUAUUAACAAUCAGAUUGAGCCUGUAGUCCACCGGUGGAGAAAAAUGACGAGUUACAAUAAUUGUACUUCACUUUCCUAUCAAUAAGUUCUUCCAUUUACAGUAUUACGCCAUCUGAUCGCAAAUAACGUUAGGGUGAAAAGGGUACCCAUGAUGAUGCCGGUCGAAAGUAAGUGUGUUACGCAUAGGCAACUGAGUCCUCUCAUAUACAGCACGAAUCUUCAACUUUGUUUUUGGAAAUAGGUGCAAAAGAUGCGUACUUUCGAUCGAGAUAUAAAGAAAAAACUAUUACUGACUCUGUCACGAAUUUCCUACCGAAUGAGCAAGCCAGUAAUAUGCACUGCGCCGCUAGCAUUUUCGUGGAUGUCCAGAAAGCUUUUGAUCAGAUCUCACACGCCGGAUUGGUUAAAAAGCUUCUGAGUAUCCGUCUGCUACAUCCAAUAAUGAAAUGGAUAUAUUCAAAUUGUCACUGCUCAACGUUCCAUACUAUCCCUCCUUUUAUAUAUCAUUUACAAAUGUGAUACUCUAGAAUCUUAACACCCCUUAAAAACGGCUCAAUUAUAUGCGGACGUUACCGCAUCAUUGCUUACACCCCAGGCAUUCGUUCUCUUAUCAUUUGAUUGAAAAAAACUCAAGACCAAAUUCUCAAAUUGGUGUGGAAAUUGGAGGAUGUCUCUCAAUUCUCAAAAAAACCAAAUCUUGUCACGUAUCUUGUACUUCAAUAAAUAAAAGAUUUUUUAUUUAA